rnacentral:rRNA from 1 species
AUGGCUCAGAACGAACGCUGGCGGCAGGCCUAACACAUGCAAGUCGAGCGCGCCCUUCGGGGUGAGCGGCGGACGGGUUAGUAACGCGUGGGAACGUACCCUUUGGUAGGGAAUAGCCACUGGAAACGGUGAGUAAUACCCUAUGAGCCCUUCGGGGGAAAGAUUUUAUCGCCAAAGGAUCGGCCCGCGUUAGAUUAGGUAGUUGUGGGGUAAUGGCCUACCAAGCCUACGAUCUAUAGCUGGUUUUAGAGGAUGAUCAGCAACACUGGGACUGAGACACGGCCCAGACUCCUACGGGAGGCAGCAGUGGGGAAUCUUGGACAAUGGGGGCAACCCUGAUCCCAGCCAUGCCGCGUGAGUGAAGAAGGCCUUAGGGUCGUAAAGCUCUUUCGCCUGUGAAGAUAAUGACGGUAGCAGGUAAAGAAACCCCGGCUAACUCCGUGCCAGCCGCUGC